rnacentral:rRNA from 1 species
UACGUAGGGUGCAAGCGUUGUCCGGAAUUAUUGGGCGUAAAGAGCUCGUAGGCGGUCUGUUGCGUCGGCUGUGAAAACCCGGGGCUCAACCCCGGGCCUGCAGCCGAUACGGGCAGACUAGAGUUCGGCAGGGGAGACUGGAAUUCCUGGUGUAGCGGUGAAAUGCGCAGAUAUCAGGAGGAACACCGGUGGCGAAGGCGGGUCUCUGGGCCGAUACUGACGCUGAGGAGCGAAAGCGUGGGGAGCGAACAGA